rnacentral:rRNA from 1 species
GAAGGUUAGCUAAUCCUGGUCGGACAUCAGGAGGUUAGUGCAAUGGCAUAAGCUAGCUUGACUGCGAGCGUGACGGCGCGAGCAGGUGCGAAAGCAGGUCAUAGUGAUCCGGUGGUUCUGAAUGGAAGGGCCAUCGCUCAACGGAUAAAAGGUACUCCGGGGAUAACAGGCUGAUACCGCCCAAGAGUUCAUAUCGACGGCGGUGUUUGGCACCUCGAUGUCGGCUCAUCACAUCCUGGGGCUGAAGUAGGUCCCAAGGGUAUGGCUGUUCGCCAUUUAAAGUGGUACGCGAGCUGGGUUUAGAACGUCGUGAGACAGUUCGGUCCCUAUCUGCCGUGGGCGCUGGAGAAUUGAGGGGGGCUGCUCCUAGUACGAGAGGACCGGAGUGGACGCAUCACUGGUGUUCGGGUUGUCAUGCCAAUGGCACUGCCCGGUAGCUAAAUGCGGAAGAGAUAAGUGCUGAAAGCAUCUAAGCACGAAACUUGCCCCGAGAUGAGUUCUCCCUGAGACUU